rnacentral:rRNA from 1 species
GAUGAACGCUAGCGGCAGGCCUAACACAUGCAAGUCGAGGGAGAAGCCCUUCGGGGCAGAAACCGGCGCACGGGUGCGUAACGCGUAUGCAACCUACCUUUCACAGGGGGAUAGCCCGAAGAAAUUUGGAUUAAUACCCCAUAAUAUUAUUGGAUGGCAUCAUUUGAUAAUUAAAACUGAGGUGGUGAAAGAUGGGCAUGCGUCCUAUUAGCUAGUUGGAGUGGUAACGGCACCCCAAGGCUACGAUAGGUAGGGGUCCUGAGAGGGAGAUCCCCUACACUGGUACUGAGACAGGGACCAGACUCCUACGGGAGGCAGCAGUGAGGAAUAUUGGUCAAUGGUCGGAAGACUGAACCAGCCAUGCCGCGCGCAGGAAGAAUGCCUUAUGGGUUGUAAACUGCUUUUAUAUGGGAAGAAUAAGGAGUACGUGUACU